rnacentral:rRNA from 1 species
ACCUUACUACUUGGAUAACCGUGGUAAUUCUAGAGCUAAUACAUGCUAAAAACCCCGACUUCGGGAGGGGUGUAUUUAUUAGAUAAAAAACCAAUGCCCUUCGGGGCUCUUUGGUGAUUCAUGAUAACUUAACGGAUCGCAUGGCCUUGCGCCGGCGACGGUUCAUUCAAAUUUCUGCCCUAUCAACUUUCGAUGGUAAGGUAUUGGCUUACCAUGGUUUCAACGGGUAACGGGGAAUUAGGGUUCGAUUCCGGAGAGGGAGCCUGAGAAACGGCUACCACAUCCAAGGAAGGCAGCAGGCGCGCAAAUUACCCAAUCCCGACUCGGGGAGGUAGUGACAAUAAAUACUGAUACAGGGCUCUUUUGGGUCUUGUAAUCGGAAUGAGUACAAUUUAAACCCCUUAACGAGGAACAAUUGGAGGGCAAGUCUGGUGCCAGCAGCCGCGGUAAUUCCAGCUCCAAUAGCGUAUAUUAAAGUUGUUGCAGUUAAAAAGCUCGUAGUUGAACCUUGGGCCUGGCUGGCCGGUCCGCCUCACCGCGUGUACUGGUCCGGCCGGGCCUUUCCUUCUGGAGAGCCGCAUGCCCUUCACUGGGUGUGUUGGGGAACCAGGACUUUUACUUUGAAAAAAUUAGAGUGUUCAAAGCAGGCCUUUGCUCGAAUACGUUAGCAUGGAAUAAUAGAAUAGGACGUGCGGUCCUAUUUUGUUGGUUUCUAGGACCGCCGUAAUGAUUAAUAGGGAUAGUCGGGGGCAUCAGUAUUCAAUUGUCAGAGGUGAAAUUCUUGGAUUUAUUGAAGACUAAUGCGAAAGCAUUUGCCAAGGAUGUUUUCAUUAAUCAGUGAACGAAAGUUAGGGGAUCGAAGACGAUCAGAUACCGUCGUAGUCUUAACCGUAAACUAUGCCGACUAGGGAUCGGGCGAU